rnacentral:rRNA from 1 species
GGAUUAGAUACCCUGGUAGUCCACGCCGUAAACGAUGUCUACUAGGUCGCGGAUGCUCUGACGCAGUCGCGGCCGAAGCAAAAGUGUUAAGUAGACCGCCUGGGGAGUACGGUCGCAAGGCUAAAACUCAAAGGAAUUGACGGGGGCUCACACAAGCGGUGGAGCAUGUGGCUUAAUUCGAAGCAACGCGAAGAACCUUAUCCUGGGUUUGACAUGUACGGAUGCCCUUUGUGAAAGCAGAGUAAGCUGCUCUUGUAGUGAAACGUACACAGGUACUGCAUGGCUGUCGUCAGCUCGUGUUG